rnacentral:rRNA from 1 species
GAUGAACGCUGGCGGCGUGCCUAAUACAUGCAAGUCGAGCGAACGGACGAGAAGCUUGCUUCUCUGAUGUUAGCGGCGGACGGUGAGUAACACGUGGAUAACCUACCUAUAAGACUGGGAUAACUUCGGGAAACCGUAGCUAAUACCGGAUAAUAUUUUGAACCGCAUGGUUCAAAAGUGAAAGACGGUCUUGCUGUCACUUAUAGAUGGAUCCGCGCUGCAUUAGCUAGUUGGUAAGGUAACGGCUUACCAAGGCAACGAUGCAUAGCCGACCUGAGGGGGUGAUCGGCCACACUGGAACUGAGACACGGUCCAGACUCCUACGGGAGGCAGCAGUAGGGAAUCUUCCGCAAUGGGCGAAAGCCUGACGGAGCAACGCCGCGUGAGUGAUGAAGGUCUUCGGAUCGUAAAACUCUGUUAUUAGGGAAGAACAUAUGUGUAAGUAACUGUGCACAUCUUGACGGUACCUAAUCAGAAAGCCACGGCUAACUACGUG